rnacentral:rRNA from 1 species
UUGAACGCUGGCGGCAUGCCUUACACAUGCACGUCGAACGGCAGCACGGGUGCUUGCCCCUGGUGGCGAGUGGCGAACGGGUGAGUAAUACAUCGGAACAUGUCCUGUAGUGGGGGAUAGCCCGGCGAAAGCCGGAUUAAUACCGCAUACGAUCUACGGAUGAAAGCGGGGGACCUUCGGGCCUCGCGCUAUAGGGUUGGCCGAUGGCUGAUUAGCUAGUUGGUGGGGUAAAGGCCUACCAAGGCGACGAUCAGUAGCUGGUCUGAGAGGACGACCAGCCACACUGGGACUGAGACACGGCCCAGACUCCUACGGGAGGCAGCAGUGGAGAAUUUUGGACAAUGGGCGAAAGCCUGAUCCAGCAAUGCCGCGUGUGUGAAGAAGGCCUUCGGGUUGUAAAGCACUUUUGUCCGGAAAGAAAUCCUUGGCCCUAAUACGGUCGGGGGAUGACGGUACCGGAAGAAUAAGCACCGGCUAACUACGUG